AAAAUGAGCUGGAGAAGGAAAUGACAAACCACUCUAGUACCUUUGCCAAGAAAACCCCAAAUGGAGUCAUGAAGAGGUAGACGCAACUAACUGACCAAAAAAAGUGGGAAGAGGAGAAUAAUGAUGGGGUUACCAAAAUGGGGGAAAAAAAGCAAGAAAUCAGAGUCACGGAGGCAUUGUUUGAAAUGCUUAGAAGAGAACAGAAUGAAGAUGAGGAAACUAAGUCUGAGAAGUUGAGGAACAUGCCCAGAUUCGCACAGUCAGUGGACUUCAGCAUGCAAGUGGGCCUCAGCCUGGAAUAUUUUUACAAUGUGGACAGAAGGAGAAAGGAGGGGACAGUCUUAGCAAUGACUCAAACAGCAAAGACAGUAUCAAAGAUGAGACACAAGUGUCUCUGUUGUUGGGAACCAAAUUCCCAUGAUGCUGUGACCUUGUAGGGUUCUUUCAUCACACUCUAUCCUGUUCCAGGUAUGUUACAAUUCAGGCCACUGUUGGGAACUUCUUGUUGUCACAGGCACUGCUGGGAGGCCGAGGGGGCUCAGUUGUGCGGGUGAAUUCUGGCCCCAGCUCUCAUUUCUUUGGUUGACUGACCAUGGGCCAUGACUCACUUCUCUGUGUCUUUGGUUUCUUAUCUACUGAGGGAAUACACUGGCCAUUCACUGAUCCCAGGUGGGGACCAGUACAGGUUACUGAUGUGGCAAAUCAGACACAACGGAACAGCACGGGCUAUGGGGUUAGGGGAAACUGAGCUUGAAUCUCAACCCUGCCCCUUACCACCUGUGUGACCUCGGGCAAGUCACUGAACCCUUUUGAACCUCAGUUUUCUUAUCUGUGAAACGAAGGGGGCCAGAUGAGAAGAGCCCUUCCAGAUCUCAAUCAGUGAGUCUAUAACCCAAGGUGGUCUGGAAGAAACUUGCAAACAUGGAUCAUUCUGAAAUGCUUUCUCAUCUGAGGGUCAUUAAAGAUAUUUUUAAAAAUUUAUUUUAUUUGUAAUUUAUGGAAU